UACAGAGGUCUCAAGCGUUGUUCGGAUUCAUUUGGGCGUAAAGGGUGCGUAGGCGGCGCGGUAAGUCGGGUGUGAAAUCUCGGAGCUUAACUCCGAAACUGCAUUCGAUACUGCCGUGCUUGAGGACUGGAGAGGAGACUGGAAUUUACGGUGUAGCGGUGAAAUGCGUAGAUAUCGUAAGGAAGACCAGUGGCGAAGGCGGGUCUCUGGACAGUUCCUGGACGGCUGAGGCACGAAGGUCAGGGGAGCAAACGGG
rnacentral:rRNA from 1 species